AAGAGUUUGAUCAUGGCUCAGAUUGAACGCUGGCGGCAGGCCUAACACAUGCAAGUCGAACGGUAACAGGAAGCAGCUUGCUGCUUUGCUGACGAGUGGCGGACGGGUGAGUAAUGUCUGGGAAACUGCCUGAUGGAGGGGGAUAACUACUGGAAACGGUGGCUAAUACCGCAUAACGUCGCAAGACCAAAGAGGGGGACCUUCGGGCCUCUUGCCAUCAGAUGUGCCCAGAUGGGAUUAGCUUGUUGGUGAGGUAACGGCUCACCAAGGCGACGAUCCCUAGCUGGUCUGAGAGGAUGACCAGCCACACUGGAACUGAGACACGGUCCAGACUCCUACGGGAGGCAGCAGUGGGGAAUAUUGCACAAUGGGCGCAAGCCUGAUGCAGCCAUGCCGCGUGUAUGAAGAAGGCCUUCGGGUUGUAAAGUACUUUCAGCGGGGAGGAAGGUGUUGUGGUUAAUAACCGCAGCAAUUGACGUUACCCGCAGAAGAAGCACCGGCUAACUCCGUGCCAGCAGCCGCGGUAAUACGGAGGGUGCAAGCGUUAAUCGGAAUUACUGGGCGUAAAGCGCACGCAGGCGGUCUGUCAAGUCGGAUGUGAAAUCCCCGGGCUCAACCUGGGAACUGCAUUCGAAACUGGCAGGCUUGAGUCUUGUAGAGGGGGGUAGAAUUCCAGGUGUAGCGGUGAAAUGCGUAGAGAUCUGGAGGAAUACCGGUGGCGAAGGCGGCCCCCUGGACAAAGACUGACGCUCAGGUGCGAAAGCGUGGGGAGCAAACAGGAUUAGAUACCCUGGUAGUCCACGCCGUAAACGAUGUCUACUUGGAGGUUGUGCCCUUGAGGCGUGGCUUCCGGAGCUAACGCGUUAAGUAGACCGCCUGGGGAGUACGGCCGCAAGGUUAAAACUCAAAUGAAUUGACGGGGGCCCGCACAAGCGGUGGAGCAUGUGGUUUAAUUCGAUGCAACGCGAAGAACCUUACCUGGUCUUGACAUCCACAGAACUUUCCAGAGAUGGACUGGUGCCUUCGGGAACUGUGAGACAGGUGCUGCAUGGCUGUCGUCAGCUCGUGUUGUGAAAUGUUGGGUUAAGUCCCGCAACGAGCGCAACCCUUAUCCUUUGUUGCCAGCGAUUAGGUCGGGAACUCAAAGGAGACUGCC
rnacentral:rRNA from 1 species